UAUCUCCUCAGGGGUCUUGCCUUUGAUCAUGUCAGCCACUGUCUGGCAUGUCAGGUCCAACAAGCUCUUGAUGUUCAGAUAGUUUGCGGACUAAUCAGACACAAAUUCAUACAUGCGUCAGACCCAGUAACAACUAAUUUGAACAGCUUUGUUAACAAAAAAAGUUGGCCAUGCCGCAUUAUGUUCACCAUUUGUAAAAACAGAAAACCCUUACAAUCAAGACCUUGGCAUAUUAAAUGAACACUUAGGUUUCUCCAAAGUCAAGACCCUGCCCAGGCUGGGAAUCAACAAUUACCUUCAUAUUGGAAGCCCCACCACUGUGUUAGUCCCUCCCACACAAAGUUGAGCAGUAGCGUGGGUGCAGGACAAGCACAAGUUUCCUAUUUCUAUACUAAAUGCGAGAUUUCCGCAUUAAUUCCUCACCAACAAAAAGAUUGCACAUGGUUCUCCUUCUCCAAUUAUCUUUAAUGAUCAAUGAUUCAAUAAUAUAAUCCUAGAUGAUGCAGGGCACAGCACAUGCCACUUAACUAGCUUGAACGUCAAACUACAUGAUGUUUAAUAGCACAAAAAUAUUCAUACGCCAGCCUCAAAGGCUAAAACAACAAUUAGGGAAAAAAAAAUUAAGAAAGCUUAGCACAUGGCGCAAGUAAGGCAUAUCAAAUGCAUCUCCACCAACUGAAGCUAGUUCCAUGGAUAAUUACACAAUCGCUAAAUUCAAUUUGAGAAAACAUUAACAAAUGUACACCCUAGAAAGACACUUCAUGUUGACAAUGCUACUAGAAGACUUCAACAUGUCUUUUAAAGGAGCAUUGUGCCAUUUCAAAGAUGAUACAUGACUCAAAUGCACUGUGAAAAGCAGUUAAUAGAGAUGGUAGUGCUCCUAAUAGCUCAUUGAAAUGUAAUAAUAUUGCAACUUCAAAGGUAUAAGUGUUUCCGUAAGGAGGAAAAAAACGAGGAUCUUUGGAAGUGCUUCUCACAGAGUUUUUCUCCACUUGAAAAAAGCAAGGAAUCUAACGUUUUAGUCAAUUCAAAUCAUCUCCCCAAAACUCAAAAGGGUUUCCUAUUGUAUAUAGGCCGGCCUGCGUGAUUUGAUUUACAAAGGCUACCAUGGGUGCACACACCAAAAGAAAGCAUCCAAUUCCACUCCUCGUGUACCGUCCAAUCCCUCUUAGCGUGACGUCCUGUAGCAAACAGAAUCCUAUUUGCCAAGCACAAAAGGGGGAAAAAAGGGAAAGCAAAAGAGAACAAGAACACAUGACACGCACAUCAAUCAACACAUCAAACUUCGCACGAACACGGCCUCGCACCGGACUAGUUCAAAUCGGAAUUGCAUCCCCAGUCCUUCUCUUUGCCACCCACAUUCGACAAAUUCAACGGAGAACCCUGAAUCCCUCAUCAAGACCACCCACUAACUUCCCGAUCUCAUGGAAAAAAAUCCGAUCUUUCGGCACAAACAAAAAAUCGGUCAAACAGAACAAGCGAAACCCUAAUCGCCGAAUCGCAAAACCUAGCCCCUCGACCAAACCCCCAAAAAUAAAAAUAAAAAGCCAACAAAACCUAAUUCGAGAACAACACGCCAAUCUCCUGCCAAACGAAGGCCCCCGAAAAAGAAAAAGAAGAAACUCAAAAAAAAAAAAGAAAAAGAAAAAGAAGAAGAAGGAACCCUAAAAAAGCAACAAGGGAAAGAUGGGGGAGGGAAUCAACAGACCAGGAUCAGGUCAAACAAGGUGGCCUGGUCGACCUUGACGAAAUCGACGUCCCAGGUCUUGAGUUCCUCGUCGUUGACGCGAUCCUCGGGCUUGGCGGACUCGACGUGCAUCUUGCAGUACUCGAUCACCUUGGCCAGGAUCUUGCUGUUCACGUUGGGCAGCGGGAUCGCGUUGUCGGCGCAGCCGUCCUCGAUCAUGUGCUUGAUCGUCUGCGACUCCACCGCCACCGACUGCUCCACAUCGAACGACUCCCCGUCGGAGCUCCGCAGCGUUAUCUUCCUCGACGUCGCCAUCUCUCGCCCUGCUUCCCCAAACGGAUUCCUCGCUGGCACCGGCAGAAGAUCGUCCUCCCUUCCCUCUCUGCACCAAGAAUCGGCGACCAGAUUUCGCUCUAGGCCCCUGUCGCUCUCUCUCUCUCUCUCUCUCUCUCUCUAUCUUCGAAAUCGAAUAUCGCGAGGAAAUCGAAAAAUCGAGUGCGGAAGAAGAAGCAAGAUAAGUGGGGGCCGGGCUUAAUAUAGAAGGAGGUCCCCCCGUCGAGUGCUGCGAGGGGGUAGCGGGUAGCGGGUAGCGUCCUGGAUCGGACCAUUGAGGGGUCGAAACGUGUCGCGAAAAAGUUCAUCGGGGCCGUACGUCUCUGACACGAAAAGGCGUAUAAUAGAUCCGUUCGCUAAAUUUUAUUUCCUUUUUUAUUUAGAUUUUUCGAUGCGUUUUUAUUUGCUGAUAAUAUUUUGUGCAGUUUCUUUUUCUUUUUCUUUUUCUUUUUUGAGAUUAAGCGUAGCUUUCUUUUCUUUUUUGGGUUUUCGGAUUUUGAAAAAGAAAACCCAAAUCAAAUCAAAACUCAAAGCUUCGACAAAGGAUAUCUGUUGCCGUCUUUUUAGAUUUUAUUUAGUUUCCCAUUAUGAGUUUUGAUGAGGUCACACAGGGUGGCCUGGUCGACCUUGACGAACUCGGCGUCCCAGGCCUUGAGGUCCUCGUCGUUGACGCGAUCCUCGGCCGUGGCGGACUCGACGUGCUUCUUGCAGUACUCGAUCACCAUGCCCAGGAUCUUGCUGUUCACGUUGGGCAGCGGGAUCGCGUCGUCAGUGCAGCAGUCCUCGAUCACGUGCUUGAUCACCUGCGACUCCUCCGCCACCGACUGCUCCACCUCGAACGACUCCCCGUCGGAGCUCCGCAGCGUUAUCUUCCUCGACGUCGCCAUCUCUCUCGCCCCGCUUCCCAAAAGGAUUCCUCGCCGGCACCGGCAGAAGAUCGUCCUCCCUUCCCCCCUCUGCGCGAAGAAUCGGCGAGCGGAUUUCGCUCUCAGCUCUGUCGCUUCUUCUCUCUCUCUCUCUCUUCUCGAAAUCGAAUCUCGCGAGGAAAUCGAAAAAUCGAGUGCGGUAGAAGGAUCGAGAGAAGUUGGGGCAGGGCUUAAUAUAGAAGGAGGUCCUUGGGAUCGAGUACUAAUAAUCAUUCGUGUGGUCACAAACUUUCGGUAUGAGCAAUGCAGAAAGCUAAUCAACAGAACGACACGGACGCUAAUUCUAUGUGCUACACCGGCUAUCGGAGAUCGAGCAAUAAAGAACGAACUACUUUACAAUGUCCUAAGGAGAAGUCCCUGGAGGUGACUAGGCAUCACCUCUACGUCGAUAAGGUGUUUAAAUGGGACAUAAAUCUAUUUUUGGACUCAUAUUUAAAUUAUAUGAGUUAGAGAUUUUUAAAAAUCCAACUAAAAAUGGAUCAAAAAAGUGAGUUUGAUUUAAAUGGAUCCAAAAUGAGUCAGAAUUUAUAAUCCAUUUUUGACUCAUUUAAAAUAUCAAGUGAGUUAGAACUUUGGAAUUCAUUUCUAAAUUUCCAACCCAACUCCACACAAUAUUUCCCUCUUUAACUUUAUAAAAAAAUUAUAAAAAAUCCAAAUUAUAAUUACUUUUCAUAUUUCAAUUUUCUUUUCUUUUUUCUUUCUUUUUCCUCCAUCCUUAGCCAGUGGCCAACACGGCAACGGCCAGGCCAAGCUCGAGCCUCUCCCAAUCUGGUGAGACUUGAGCUCAUCGAUAUCGAGUGGGGCCUCGGUCACACCGGAUCGGCAAGAUCGAGCCUCUACCUCACCAAUGAAGACCUCGCUAGAUCGACAAGAUCAGACCUCGCUCAAUGCUAGUGGGGCCUCAGCCUCAGCAACACUCCAGCUCGUCAGCGUUGGGCGAGCUCGAGUCUCGCCAAAUCUGGCGAUACGGGUCGAGUCGGGUAUGAAUUGGGUAUGGAUCGGAUCAUGUACAGAUUAUUAAAUUUAUACUACAUGAAUAUGAGUCAAACUAAGUUAAAUGGGUCAAAUAUGGGUCAACCCAUUUUUGACCCAAUCCAAACCCAAAUGAACCACCCAUUUGACGAGUCUAAUGUCAAUGUUCCCUAGGCAUCCGAUUAUUGUGAGGGAGGAGGAUCAUUCUAUGUGAGGCCCGGAUCAAACCAUUAUGGGGUCGAAACGUGUCGGGAAGUUUAUUGGGGCCAUACGUCGGUGAUGCGAAAAAAGUGUAUAUCCAAUCCGGAAAUUCAAUUCGAUACGGGCUUGAAGUUUCGAAAAAGGAAGAUAGACCUUUUGCUAAAUUAUAUUUCCUUUUCUAUAUAGUUUUUGAUGCGUUUUUAUUUAUUGAUAAUCUUUUGUGCAUUUCCUUUUUCUUUUUCUUUUUUAAAGAGAUUUAGUGUAGCUUUCUUUUCUUUUUGGGGUAUCAGGAUUUUGAAAAAAAAAAUCCAAAUCAAAUCUAAACCUCAUGCCGAGAACUCAAAGUUUUGAUAAAGGAUAUCUGGCGCCAUCCUUUUAGAUUUUAUUUAAUUUUCCAUUAUGAGUUUUGAUGGAUUUUCCUUCCAUACACACAUCAUGCUAUACGCAUGAUGCACAUAUAUGGCCACGCCCAUCCGUGCCCAAAUCGACCAAUCCAGUCAAAAUGGAUCAUAGACCUAUUUCUUAACCCAUACUCGAUAAGUUGAGUUUAGUAAAUUGAUUAUCAAUGAGUUUAAAAUAGUAAAGCCCACAACAUCAUCGAGAAUAUUCAUAACUUAAAUAAACACCAAUACAUUUAUAUGAUUCUCUUUCUUCACUCCCCUCCCUCAUUCCGUGCUCACCUCAAUUUUGAUAUUAAUUUUUUAAUAUUAGUUAAAUAUAAAAAAUGAUUUAACAACAUAAAUCAAGUCAAGUAUGUGUUGGAUAUAGAUUGUUUCAGAUAUUAGUAGCAACAUUCAUAUGACAGGAUAAUCUUACUAACAUUAAAAGGGAACUGAAGUCCAAAAGCAGGAUCCAGCCAACCAACAAUGCCACCAUAACGAACCGCUAUCUACAUUCGUGAGCCAAGCAAAGUCAUAUACUAGAUGUUUCAACGACUAAAAGACUGACACAGCAAAAUAAAACACAAAUCAUCUCCAUAGGUUCAGGAGGAGACUUAAAAGACAUAUCAUUCAAAUGCCCACUGGUUCUCCCGCCGCACCUCUUCCUCCUCCUCUGGGGUGAAGUCAUUCCUGAUAGUGAAGGUCUUGCGUUUCUCCUCAGGGGUCUUGCCUUUGAUCAUGUCAGCCACUGUCUGGCAUGUCAGGUCCAACAAGCUCUUGAUGUUCAGAAAGUUUGCAGCCUGAUUAGACACAAAUUCAUACAUGCGUCAGACCGAGUAACAACUAAUUGGAACAGCUUAUUAACAAAAAAAAGUUGGCCAUGCCGCAUCACGUUCACCAUUUGUAAAAACAGAAAACCCUUACAAUCAAGACCUUGGCAUAUUAAAUGAACAACACUUAGGUUUCUCCAAAGUCAAAGACCCUGCCCAGGCGGGGAAUCCAUAAUUACCUUCAUAUUGGAAGCCCCACCACUGUGUUAGUCCCUCCCACACAAAGUUGAGCAGUAGCGUGGGUGCAGGACAAGCGCAAGUUUCCUAUUUCUAUGCCAAAUGCAAAAUUUCCGUAUUAAUUCCUCACCAACAAAAAGAUUGCACACGGUUCCCCUUCUCCAAUUAUCUUCAAUGAUCAAUGAUUCAAUAAUAUAAUCCUAGAUGAUGCAGGGCACAGCACAUGCCACUUAACUAGCUUGAACGUCAAACUACAUGAUGUUUACUAGCACAAAAAUAUUCAUCAUACGCCAGCCUCAAAGGCUAAAACAGCAAUUAGGGAAAAAAAAAUUAAGAAAGCUUAGCACAUGGUGCAAGUAAGGCAUAUCAAAUGCAUCUCCACCAACUGAAGCUAGUUCCAUGGAUAACUACACAAUCGCUAAAUUCAAUUUGAGAAAAUAUUAACAAAUGUACACCAUAGAAAGGCACUUCAUGUUGACGAUGCUACUAGAAGACUUCAACAUGUCGUUUAAAGGAGCAUUGUGCCAUUUCAAAGAUGAUAUAUGACUCAAAUGCACUGUGAAAAGCAGUUAAUAGAGAUGGUAGUGCUCCUAAUAGCUCAUUGAAAUGUAAUAAUAUUACAACUUCAAAGGUAGAAGUGUUCCCAUAAGGAAAAUAAAAACAGAGGAUCUUUGAAAGUGCUUCUCACAGAGAAUUUCCCCACUUGAAAAAAAGCAAAGAAUCGCAGAUUCUCCGGCCGACCGAAGACCCCCGAAAAAAAAAUGAAGCCAAAAAAAGCAACAAGGGAAAGAUGGGGAGGGAAUCAACCGACCCGGAUGAGGUCAAACAGGGUGGCCUGGUCGACCUUGACGAAAUCGGCGUCCCAGGCCACGAGGUCCUCGUCGUCGACGCGAUCCUCGGCCUUGGCGGACUCGACGUGCUUCUUGCAGUACUCGAUCACCUUGGCCAGGAUCUUGCUGUUCACUUUGGGCACCGGGAUCGGGUUGCCGGCGCUGCCUUCCUCGAUACUGUCCUUGAUCGUUAUCGACUCCACCGCCACCGACUGCUCCACCUCGAACGACUCCCCGUCGGAGCUCAGCAGCGUUACCUUCCUCGACGUCGCCAUCUCUCGCCCUGCUUCCCAAACGGAUUCCUCGCCGGCACCGGCAGAAGAUCGUCCUCCCUUCCCUCUCCGCGACAAGAAUCGGCGACCGGAUUUCGCUCUAGGCCCUGUCGCUCUCUCUCUCUCUCUCUCUUCGAAAUCGAAAAAUCGAGUGCUGUAGAAGGAUAGAGAUGACUCAGAUAAUAGGGGGCAGGGCUUACAUAGGAGGGGGCAGGGCUUAAUAUCGAAGGAGGAGAAAGGGCCCCCGGGGUCGGGGUAGCGCCCUGGAUCGGACCAAUGAGGGGUCGUAACGUGUCGGGAAAUUUAUCGGGGACCGUACAUCGCUGAGGCGAAAGGGCGUAUAUAACAUAUCCGGGAAUUCAAUUCCAUUCGGGCUUGGAGUUAGGAAGUUAGACCUUUUGCUAAUUUAGAUUUUUCAAAGUGUUUUUAAGCUUCAUUUGUUUCGCAAAAAAUAAUUUUUAAAAAAAAAAAUUUCAGAUUUUCUGGCGUUCAUUUCAUGGAAAAUGGAUUCAUUAAAGAAAAUGUUUUUCAUAAAAGGAAAAAAAUUCUUCUAAUUUUAAGGAAAAUGUUUUUCAAUUUUGAAAAGUGAAAAACAUUUUCCUCACUUAAUCUCUCUUAUUUCACACAUCUACAAAUCCUCACUUUCUCCUCCUCUUUCUUCUUUUUCUUUUCUUUUUUUAUUCGAUUUUUUUUAUAAUUUUUUCUUUUUUAAUUCGAAUUAUUUUUAAUUUCCUUUUUCUUUUCCAUUUCUUUUCUUUUUUUUUUCUUUUUUUUUUCUUUGUUUCCCAUCUUCUUCUCUCUUGGCUAGUUGUCAACCGUCACUAGGCGAAUCUCGAGCUAGUCGAUCUCAAGCUCGCGCUUGCCAAUCUGGUGAGCCCCUGAUCGGGUGUUGCACAGGGUCGGGGUAGCGCCCUGGAUCGAACCAAUGAGGGGUCGAAAUGUGUCAGGAAGUUUAUCGAGGGCUGUACAUCACUGAGGCGAAAGGGCAUAUAUAACAUAUCCGGAAAUUCAAUUCCAUUCGAGCUUGGAGUUAGGAAGUUAGACCUUUUGCUAAUUUAGAUUUUUCAAGGCGUUUUUAGGCUUCAUUUGUUUCGCAAAAAAUAAUUUUCGAAAAAACGUUUUUCAGAUUUUCUGGUGUUCAUUCACGGAAAAUGGAUUCAUUAAGGAAAAUGUUUUUCAUGAAAGGAAAAAAAGUAUAAGACAAGUAAGCCUCCCCAGACCAUACAAGUGCUCGACGAGCCCAUGCAAAAGGUUUGGUUAAGUGAAAAGUGAAAAACAUUUUCCUCACUUAAUCUCUCUUAUUUCACACAUCUACAAAUCCUCACUUUCUCCUCCUCUUUCUUCUUUUUCUUUUCUUUUUUUAUUCGAUUUUUUAAUAAUUUUUUUCUUUUUUAAUUCAAAUUAUUUUUAAUUUCCUGUUUCUUUUUCAUUUCAUUUCUUUUUUUCUUUUUAUUUUCUUUGUUUCUCAUCUUCUUCUUUCUUAGCUAGUUGUCAACCGUCGCUAGGCGAAUCUCGAGCCCGUCGAUCUCAAGCUUGCGCUUGCCAAUCUGGUGAGCCUCGAGCUCAACGCUUGCGCUCACCAAUCUGAUGAGAGGCAAGCUUCAUGCUCAUCGACAAGCUCAAGGCAUGCCGAUGGCCGGUCACGAGCUAUUGUUGUGGCUGACGACCAACCAAGAAAGAAGGAGAUGGAAAACAAAGAAAAACGAAAAGAAAAAUUAAAAAUUAAAAAAAUUAAUAAUAUAUUUUAAAAAUUAUAAAUAAUUAAAAUCAAUUUUUAAAAAAUAUGAAAAAUCCAUUUUUAAAAAUAAAAUAAAUGAAAAAGAGAUAUGAAGGAAAAUAUUUUCCUUACCAAACAUCGAAAAAUAUUUUCCACUUCAUUUUCAUGUUUCAUCCGAACACCGGAAAAUAAUUACAUUAUUCUAGAAAAUAUUUUUCAGAAACGCCACAUUUUCUACGAAACGAAUGGAGAGUGUAGCUUUCUUUUCUUUUUGGGGUUUCCGGAUUUUGAAAAACAAAAUCCAAAUCAAAUCUAAAUCUCACCCUUAGAACUCAAAGCUUUGAUAAAUAAUAUAUGUGCCAUCUUUUUUAGAUUUUAUUUAAUUUCUCAUUAUGAGUUUUGAUGGAUUUUCCUUCCAUCCCGCGAAUCAUGCCAUGCAUGAUGCGCGUAUAUAGGCCCGCCCGUCUAUGCCCAAAUCGACCAAUCGAUAGAUAGUCAAAAUUGAUUAUAGACCUAUUUCUUAACCCGUACUUGAUAAGUUGAGUUUAGUAAAUUGAUUAUCAAUGGAUUUAAAAUAGUAAAGCCCACAACAUCAUCGAGAAUAUUCAUAACUUAUUUAAACACCAACCCAUUCAUGUGUCAACCUCCAUGGCAAGAAAGACGAAACUUUUCCAUCUGAAAAGUGAAAACUCUCUCAUACAUUUGAGGUCCUUUUUCUCAUUUUAGUCAAUAACGUCGACAAUUCAAUCCCUCUCUCCCCCUCUCUGAGUUUAGCCUUUUUUUUUUUUUUUUCUCUCUUCAACUUCCGGGGAGGGAUUUGACCUCAAUCUCCCCCUUUGAGUUGCUAUUCCUUUAUUUUUACUUAUUUUCUUUCCUUACUCUCAUGAUUUUAUAUCUGUGAGCUUUAAUGGUGUUCACAGCACCUUUGAUAUUAACUCUAUGAUUUAAAGUAUUUUUGUUUAAAAACUUUGGCAUCUCGUACUCAUAGGUUUGAAAUCCAAGCUUCUUCAAUAUGUUUAUGUUGCCUCUGUACAGUAAUAGUAUUAGAGACACAAAUCUUAGGGGCACAUUGCCGAAAUGUAAAGUCACACCUAUAGUUGGAGAUCUCGACAUGUGCUCAUCAUUAAUGAUAAUAUGUGAUUUAGUAAUUGAUUGUUGAUCAUUUUGCCCAGAUACAGUUAUAAAUUUAUUCAUUAAAAACGAGCAUAUAAUUACUGAUUUUUGGUUUAUUUUGAAGUUCUAUGAAUUUAUCUUGUUAUGAUAACUUUUGAGAUUUCUCAUAGAUCCUUGCAUGUAUUAUUUUAGUGAUUAUUUUAGUAAUGAAUGAAAAUCCUUGCAUGUAUUAUUUUAGUGAUUAUUUUAGUAAAGAAUGAAAAUUUCUUUUGACUAAAAAACAUUCAACCGCUUAAUCUGCAAUACUCAUAACUCAUGCAUUAAAUCGACCUGAAAAUGAAAUGCAUGUCUAGGACCUGAAAAUGAAAUGCCUGUGUAGAUGAUAGACGGACGGCGUUCAAUUUUCCCAACACUGGCGAUAGCACUGGCGAUAGCACAUGACGUUGCAGGUUCAUCCCAAUCCCUGAACCACCUUCAUGGAUGGUAUAGGAUCCGUAUCCCCAAUCGUUUUAUUGUGUUCCAUCCGGUGGCUCAUUCGACACGGGGGCAACACAGCCAACCCCAAUCGACCAAUUCAAGGUUCAAAUGCAUAUAAAUUAUAAUAAUCAAAUCAAUAGGGCCAUCAUCAGACAGGAUAAUCUUAGUAACAUUAAAAGGGAGCUGAAGUCCAAAAGCAGGAUCCAGCCAACCAACAAUGCCACCAUAACGAACCGCUAUCUACAUUCGUGAGCCAAGCAAAGUCAUAUACUAGAUGUUUCAACGACUAAAAGAAUGACACGGCAAAAUAAAACACAAACCAUCUCCAUAGGUUCAGGAGGAGACUUAAGACAUAUCAUUCGAAUGCCCACUGGUUCUCCCGCCGCACCUCUUCCUCCUCCUCUGGGGUGAAGUCAUUCCUGAUGCUGAAGGUCUUGCGUUGCUCCUCAGGGGUCAUGCGUUUGAUCAUGUCAGCCACUGUCUGGCAUGUUAGGUCCAACAAGCUCUUGAUGUUCAGAAAGUUUGCAGCCUGAUUAGACACAAAUUCAUACAUGCGUCAGACUGAGUAACAACUAAUUGAAACAGCUUAUUACCAAAAAAAAGUUGGCCAUGCCGCAUCACGUUCACCAUUUGUAAAAACAGAAAACCCUUACAAUCAAGACCUUGGCAUAUUAAAUGAACAACACUUAGGUUUCUCCAAAGUCAAAGACCCUGCCCAGGCUGGGAAUCCACAAUUCCCUUCAUAUUGGAAGCCCCACCACUGUGUUAGUCCCUCCCGCACAAAGUUAAGCAGUAGCGUGGGUGCAGGACAAGCACAAGUUUCCUAUUUCUAUGCCAAAUGCGAAAUUCCCGCAUUAAUUCCUCACCAACAAAAAGAUUGCACAUGGUUCCCCUUUUCCAAUUAUCUUUAAUGAUCAAUGAUUCGAUAAUAUAAUCCUAGAUGAUGCAGGGCACAGCACAUGCCACUUAACUAGCUCGAACGUCAAACUACAUGAUGUUUAAUAGCACAGAAAUAUUCACACGCCAGCCUCAAAGGCUAAAACAACAAUUAGGGAAAAAAAAAUUAAGAAAGCUUAGCACAUGGUCCAAGUAAGGCAUAUCAAAUGCAGCUCCACCAACUGAAGCUAGUUCCAUGGAUAAUUACACAAUCGCUAAAUUCAAUUUGAGAAAACUAGAAAGGCACUUCAUGUUGACGAUGCUACUAGAAGACUUCAACAUGUCGUUUAAAGGAGCAUUGUGCCAUUUCAAAGAUGAUAUAUGACUCAAAUGCACUGUGAAAAGCAGUUAAUAGAGAUGGUAGUGCUCCUAAUAGCUCAUUGAAAUGUAAUAAUAUUACAACUUCAAAGGUAGAAGUGUUCCCAUAAGGAAGAUAAAAACAGAGGAUCUUUGAAAGUGCUUCUCACAGAGAGUUUCCCCACUUGAAAAAAGCAAAGAAUCGCAGAUUCUCCGGCCGACCGAAGGCCCCCGAAAACAAAAUGAAGCCAAAAAAAGCAACAAGGGAAAGAUUGGGGAGGGAAUCAACCGACCAGGAUUAGGUCAAACAGGGUGGCCCAGUCGACCUCGACGAAAUCGGCGUCCCAGGCCACGAG
rnacentral:lncRNA from 1 species